rnacentral:rRNA from 1 species
CAGCAGCCGCGGGAAUACGAAGGGUGCAAGCGUUAAUCGGAAUUACUGGGCGUAAAGCGUGCGUAGGCGGUAAGUUAAGUCUGCUGUGAAAUCCCCGGGCUCAACCUGGGAAUGGCAGUGGAUACUGGCUCGCUAGAGUGUGUCAGAGGAUGGUGGAAUUCCCGGUGUAGCGGUGAAAUGCGUAGAGAUCGGGAGGAACAUCAGUGGCGAAGGCGGCCAUCUGGGACAACACUGACGCUGAGGCACGAAAGCGUGGGGAGCAAACAGGAUUAGAUACCCGCGUAGUCCCUGUCUCUUAUAU